rnacentral:tRNA from 1 species
CCGACCUUAGCUCAGUUGGUAGAGCGGAGGACUGUAGUUUGAGUAUAUGCGUGCUGAAAUCCUUAGGUCGCUGGUUCGAAUCCGGCAGGUCAGA